CUGAGAAAAACAAUUCGGCAAAGGACCGUACAGGACUUUCACUCAGCGUGAUCGCGCUCCUUUCCCCGGACGCGACCCGGGAGAGGGGUGGGGAAGGGCGCGCGCAGCAGCCCACCCAAUGCCCGAGCGGGGCGGAGCAGCCCAACUCGGCCCGAGCCCCGCCGGGUGGUGGAGAGCGCCGCGAUGCGCAAAGCAGAGGCCCGGCCACGUCAGCACGACCACCCCGGGGGCGCUGCGAGGGGACAAGGGCCCAGCGACGGGGGCGGCUCUCGGCCCAGCCUGGCGACCCCCGGACCCAUGGAAAGGCCCGCGGGGCUGAUGCUGGAACCAUCCCUCUAUACCGUCAAGGCACUUUUCAUCUUGGACAGCUUUGGGCAGAGACUUUUGGCCAAGUAUUAUGACGACACAUUUCCAUCUACGAAAGAACAGAAGAUCUUUGAGAAAAAUGUCUUCAACAAAACUCACAAGACUGACAGUGAGAUUGCUUUCUUGGAAGGCCUGACCAUUGUCUAUAAAAGCAGCAUCGACCUCUUCUUUUAUGUAGUGGGGAGUUCCCAUGAAAACGAGUUGAUGCUGAUGUCAGUUCUCAGCUGUCUCUUUGAGUCCCUCAGUCACCUGCUACGAAAAAAUGUGGAGAAGCGGACCUUGAUGGAGAACAUGGAUGGGGCAUUCCUUGUAGUGGAUGAGAUUAUUGACGGCGGUGUGAUUCUCGAAAGUGAUCCCCAGCAAGUCAUGCAGAAGGUGAAUUUCAGGACAAUUCCAGAGCCUGCGGCUUACGGCUUCGUCCUGUUUGAUUACAUCACGGGUAACUCAGAACACAGUGAACUUAUGCCCGAGAGGCUGUACAAAUAGUGAAAUGCUGUUCGCACACAGGAUGUGAGGAGUGGAUGACAGCCCUUUGUCAGAGCAUAGUGUCACUCAGGUUCUGCAGUCGGCCAAAGAACAAAUUAAAUGGUCCUUAUUAAAAUAAACACCCAGAACAAAAGAG